CGCAUGACAAUUUUGACAGAGAGUGGACGGGUGUAAGGGGGUGAGCUUUCGUUCUGCAUUUAUCAAGCUCAUCUGUCAGACAUCAGUUAAACACAGAUGGACGCAAAGAAAGCUGACAUAUCCUACUUUGAUGUACAGUAAAGAAGGAAAGGAGAAGGGGAAUCCCCAUGAUCUACCUACACAGGGAAACAAAUGCUAAAUUAGGAACAGGCACCAUGAAAACCUCUGGGUUCGGAACAAUGUAAUGGGACACACUGCUACUAAAUAAACUGAAGUUGUAAUUUGAUAGUUGAAACAGAUUUAACAGAAGCCAUGAUGCUGGUGUCUAGAGGAGAACUCCAGGAUGGUUUAAAGCACGGCAUUUAAUACAGAGCUUCAUCACCAUUCACCAUUCCAAUUGGGGGGAACC